AGCUGCAGCUCUCCCUGGUGCGUUCUACAAACACGCUGAAGGGCGCUUUAUUCAUCGCUUCUGACGCUGACAGCCACUGUCCAAACGUCCAUAUUUUACGAGUUUGGCAUGAGAACGGGUUGACAAUAAAGAGCCAGUACCAAGCAGCAACCGUUAGCCCAGAACUUCAGCGUGGGCAGGUAGGAUUAACCAUUGAGCGAAUAUUAUAAGAAUUGAUAAGAGUGUGGUGUAGACCUGGUCCAUAUGAAAAAUUCACUGGGAUAAGUAGUAAUGCCAGAUGAUUUGGCACUACCUUGACACUGAAUUAACUUUAUCAGAAAGCUUUGUAAAAAGGGGGGAUUUGUGCUGAGAAUUUCGACAAUUUAUAAAAUGUGAUUUAGUGUCAGAAGCAGAGCCAAUAGUGUGCAAGGGAUAGCUGCUGUGGAAGGUGCAUCUAUUGUAAGCCCUUGCACCACAGUGUGAACAA